UAGGGAAUCUUCGGCAAUGGACGAAAGUCUGACCGAGCAACGCCGCGUGAGUGAGGAAGGUUUUCGGAUCGUAAAACUCUGUUGGUAGAGAAGAACGUUGGUGAGAGUGGAAAGCUCAUCAAGUGACGGUAACUACCCAGAAAGGGCGGCUAACUACGUGCCAC
rnacentral:rRNA from 1 species